rnacentral:rRNA from 1 species
UUCAGAGGUCCCGAGCGUUGUUCGGAUUUACUGGGCGUAAAGGGAGCGUAGGCGGUUCGGUAUGUCGAAUGUGAAAGCCCGCAACUCAACUGCGGAAUGGCAUUCGAAACUACCAGGCUAGAGUACUGGAGAGGAGAGCGGAAUUCUUGGUGUAGCGGUGAAAUGCGUAGAUAUCAAGAGGAACACCGGUGGCGAAGGCGGCUCUCUGGACAGAUACUGACGCUGAGGCUCUAAAGUUAGGGGAGCAAACAGGAUUAGAUA